rnacentral:tRNA from 1 species
GGGGAUAUAGCUCAAGUAGUAGAGCGUAUGCUUAGCAUGCAUGAGGCCCUGGGUUCAAUCCCCUGUACCUCCU